GAACGGUGGUACUAAGCAUACGACAAGUAGGGCGGGACACGAGAAAUCCUGUCUGAACAUGGGGGGACCAUCCUCCAAGGCUAAAUACUCGUAAUCGACCGAUAGUGAACCAGUACCGUGAGGGAAAGGCGAAAAGAACCCCGGGAGGGGAGUGAAAUAGAUCCUGAAACCGUGUGCAUACAAACAGUAGGAGCGGACUUGUUCCGUGACUGCGUACCUUUUGUAUAAUGGGUCAGCGACUUACAUUCAGUGGCAAGGUUAACCGUAUAGGGGAGCCGUAGAGAAAUCGAGUCCGAAUAGGGCGACAGUCGCUGGGUGUAGACCCGAAACCAAGUGAUCUACCCAUGGCCAGGAUGAAGGUGCGGUAACACGCCCUGGAGGUCCGAACCCACUAAUGUUGAAAAAUUAGGGGAUGAGCUGUGGGUAGGGGUGAAAGGCUAAACAAACUUGGAAAUAGCUGGUUCUCUCCGAAAACUAUUUAGGUAGUGCCUCAAGUAUCACCAUCGGGGGUAGAGCACUGUUAUGGCUAGGGGGUCAUUGCGACUUACCAAACCAUUGCAAACUCCGAAUACCGAUGAGUGCGAGCUUGGGAGACAGACAUCGGGUGCUAACGUCCGGUGUCAAGAGGGAAACAACCCAGACCGCCAGCUAAGGUCCCAAAGAUUGGCUAAGUGGAAAACGAAGUGGGAAGGCUAAAACAGUCAGGAUGUUGGCUUAGAAGCAGCCAUCAUUUAAAGAAAGCGUAAUAGCUCACUGAUCGAGUCGUCCUGCGCGGAAGAUGUAACGGGGCUAAGCCAGUCACCGAAGCUGCGGAUAU
rnacentral:rRNA from 3 species